rnacentral:rRNA from 1 species
UUGCAGAAUUCAGUGAAUCAUCGAGUCUUUGAACGCACAUUGCGCCCUCUGGUAUUCCGGAGGGCAUGCCUGUCCGAGCGUCAUUGCUGCCCUCAAGCCCGGCUUGUGUGUUGGGCCCCGUCCCCCCCGCCGGGGGGACGGGCCCGAAAGGCAGCGGCGGCACCGCGUCCGGUCCUCGAGCGUAUGGGGCUUCGUCACCCGCUCUAGUAGGCCCGGCCGGCGCCAGCCGACCCCCAACCUUUAAUUAUCUCAGGUUGACCUCGGAUCAGGUAGGGAUACCCGCUGAACUUAAGCAUAUCAAUAAGCGGAGGAA